GAUGAACGCUGGCGGCGUGCCUAACACAUGCAAGUCGAACGCUCGCAAGAGAGUGGCGCACGGGUGAGUAACACGUAGCUAAUCUGCUCUCAAGACAAGGAUAACUGUAGGAAACUACUGCUAAUACUUGAUAAGCUUACGGACUGUAGAGGUCUAUAAGAAAAGAUUUAUCGCUUGAGGAUGAGGCUGCGCGCCAUCAGCUAGUUGGUAAGGUAAUGGCUUACCAAGGCGACGACGGCUAGGGGACCUGAGAGGGU
rnacentral:rRNA from 1 species